GCCUUUAUGGUGUAGUGGUCAGCAUACUGGGCGUGUAGUGUAUUCCAGAGAUCGUGGUUCGAGUCCCGGCGAAGGCA
rnacentral:tRNA from 1 species